rnacentral:rRNA from 1 species
CCUACGGGAGGCAGCAGUAGGGAAUAUUCGGCAAUGGACGAAAGUCUGACCGAGCAACGCCGCGUGAGUGAAGAAGGUUUUCGGAUCGUAAAACUCUGUUGGUAGAGAAGAACGUUGGUGAGAGUGGAAAGCUCAUCAAGUGACGGUAACUACCCAGAAAGGGACGGCUAACUACGUGCCAGCAGCUGCGGUAAUACGUAGGUCCCGAGCUGUGUCCGGAUUUAUUGUGCGAAAGGCGAGCGUAAGUGGUUUAUUAAGUCUGGUGUAAAAGGCAGGGGCUCAACCAUUGUAUGCAUUUGAAACUGGGAGACUUGAGUGCAGGAGAGGAGAGUGGAAUUCCUGGUGUAGCGGUGAAAUGCGUAGAUAUAUGGAGGAACACCGAUUGCGAAGGCGGCUCUCUGGCCUGUAACUGACACUGAGGCUCGAAAGCGUGGGGAGCAAACAGGAUUAGAUACCCUGGUAGUC